rnacentral:rRNA from 3 species
AGAGUUUGAUCAUGGCUCAGAUUGAACGCUGGCGGCAGGCCUAACACAUGCAAGUCGAGCGGUAGCACAGAGAGCUUGCUCUCGGGUGACGAGCGGCGGACGGGUGAGUAAUGUCUGGGAAACUGCCUGAUGGAGGGGGAUAACUACUGGAAACGGUAGCUAAUACCGCAUAACGUCGCAAGACCAAAGUGGGGGACCUUCGGGCCUCAUGCCAUCAGAUGUGCCCAGAUGGGAUUAGCUAGUAGGUGGGGUAACGGCUCACCUAGGCGACGAUCCCUAGCUGGUCUGAGAGGAUGACCAGCCACACUGGAACUGAGACACGGUCCAGACUCCUACGGGAGGCAGCAGUGGGGAAUAUUGCACAAUGGGCGCAAGCCUGAUGCAGCCAUGCCGCGUGUGUGAAGAAGGCCUUCGGGUUGUAAAGCACUUUCAGCGGGGAGGAAGGCGUUAAGGUUAAUAACCUUGUCGAUUGACGUUACCCGCAGAAGAAGCACCGGCUAACUCCGUGCCAGCAGCCGCGGUAAUACGGAGGGUGCAAGCGUUAAUCGGAAUUACUGGGCGUAAAGCGCACGCAGGCGGUCUGUCAAGUCGGAUGUGAAAUCCCCGGGCUCAACCUGGGAACUGCAUUCGAAACUGGCAGGCUAGAGUCUUGUAGAGGGGGGUAGAAUUCCAGGUGUAGCGGUGAAAUGCGUAGAGAUCUGGAGGAAUACCGGUGGCGAAGGCGGCCCCCUGGACAAAGACUGACGCUCAGGUGCGAAAGCGUGGGGAGCAAACAGGAUUAGAUACCCUGGUAGUCCACGCCGUAAACGAUGUCGAUUUGGAGGUUGUGCCCUUGAGGCGUGGCUUCCGGAGCUAACGCGUUAAAUCGACCGCCUGGGGAGUACGGCCGCAAGGUUAAAACUCAAAUGAAUUGACGGGGGCCCGCACAAGCGGUGGAGCAUGUGGUUUAAUUCGAUGCAACGCGAAGAACCUUACCUGGUCUUGACAUCCACAGAACUUUCCAGAGAUGGAUUGGUGCCUUCGGGAACUGUGAGACAGGUGCUGCAUGGCUGUCGUCAGCUCGUGUUGUGAAAUGUUGGGUUAAGUCCCGCAACGAGCGCAACCCUUAUCCUUUGUUGCCAGCGGUCCGGCCGGGAACUCAAAGGAGACUGCCAGUGAUAAACUGGAGGAAGGUGGGGAUGACGUCAAGUCAUCAUGGCCCUUACGACCAGGGCUACACACGUGCUACAAUGGCAUAUACAAAGAGAAGCGACCUCGCGAGAGCAAGCGGACCUCAUAAAGUAUGUCGUAGUCCGGAUUGGAGUCUGCAACUCGACUCCAUGAAGUCGGAAUCGCUAGUAAUCGUAGAUCAGAAUGCUACGGUGAAUACGUUCCCGGGCCUUGUACACACCGCCCGUCACACCAUGGGAGUGGGUUGCAAAAGAAGUAGGUAGCUUAACCUUCGGGAGGGCGCUUACCACUUUGUGAUUCAUGACUGGGGUGAAGUCGUAACAAGGUAACCGUAGGGGAACCUGCGGUUG